rnacentral:rRNA from 1 species
UACGUAGGGCGCAAGCGUUGUCCGGAAUUAUUGGGCGUAAAGAGCUCGUAGGCGGUCUGUCGCGUCUGCCGUGAAAACCCGGGGCUCAACCCCGGGCGUGCAUUCGAUACUGCGCGGCUCGAGACAGGUAGGGGAGGAUCGGAAUUCCUGGUGUAGCGGUGAAAUGCGCAGAUAUCAGGAGGAACACCGGUGGCGAAGGCGGAUCUCUGGGCCUGUUCUGACGCUGAGGCGCGAAAGCUAGGGGAGCGAACAGG